GAUCCGGUUGUCUAGUGGUUACAACAUGCGCCUCGUAUGCAGGAGGUCAUGGGUUCGAACCACAGCUGAGUCA